UACGAAGGGGGCGAGCGUUGUUCGGAAUCACUGGGCGUAAAGGGCGCGUAGGCGGCCCUCCUUGUCGCGUGUGAAAGCCCCGGGCUCAACCUGGGAACGGCGCGCGAGACGGGGGGGCUGGAGUUCGGGAGAGGAGCGUGGAAUUCCCAGUGUAGAGGUGAAAUUCGUAGAUAUCAGGAGGAACACCAAUAGCGAAGGCAGCUCGCUGGGACGUUACUGACACUGAGGCGCGAAAGCGUGGGGAGCGAACAGG
rnacentral:rRNA from 1 species